GACAGAGGGUGCAAACGUUGUUCGGAAUUACUGGGCGUAAAGCGCAUGUAGGCGGCGAUUCAAGUCGGGGGUGAAAUCCUGAGGCUCAACCUCAGAACUGCCUUCGAUACUGCAUUGCUAGAGUAUGGAAGAGGUAGGUGGAACUGCAAGUGUAGAGGUGAAAUUCGUAGAUAUUUGCAAGAACACCAGUGGCGAAGGCGGCCUACUGGUCCAUCACUGACGCUGAGAUGCGAAAGCGUGGGGAGCAAACAGG
rnacentral:rRNA from 1 species